rnacentral:rRNA from 1 species
CAGGCGUGAUUGACUCGUGUCGUGAGAUGUUGGGUUAAGUCCCGCAACGAGCGCAACCCUUUUCCUUACUUGCCAUCGGGUCAUGCCGGGAACUUUAAGGAUACUGCCAGUGACAAACUGGAGGAAGGCGGGGACGACGUCAAGUCAUCAUGGCCCUUACGACCAGGGCUACACACGUGCUACAAUGGUCGGUACAAAGGGUUGCUACCUAGCGAUAGGAUGCUAAUCUCAAAAAGCCGAUCGUAGUCCGGAUUGGAGUCUGCAACUCGACUCCAUGAAGUCGGAAUCGCUAGUAAUCGCGGAUCAGAAUGCCGCGGUGAAUACGUUCCCGGGCCUUGUACACACCGCCCGUCACACCAUGGGAGUUUGUUGCACCAGAAGUAGGUAGUCUAACCGCAAGGAGGACGCUACUCAA